GGGUUGUGAGGUUAAGCGACUAAGCGUACACGGUGGAUGCCCUGGCAGUCAGAGGCGAUGAAGGACGUGCUAAUCUGCGAUAAGCGCCGGUAAGGUGAUAUGAACCGUUAUAACCGGCGAUUUCCGAAUGGGGAAACCCAGUGUGACUCGUCACACUAUCAUUAACUGAAUCCAUAGGUUAAUGAGGCGAACCGGGGGAACUGAAACAUCUAAGUACCCCGAGGAAAAGAAAUCAACCGAGAUUCCCCCAGUAGCGGCGAGCGAACGGGGAGGAGCCCAGAGCCUGAAUCAGCAUGUGUGUUAGUGGAAGCGUCUGGAAAGGCGCGCGAUACAGGGUGACAGCCCCGUACACAAAAGCGCAUGUGUUGUGAGCUCGAUGAGUAGGGCGGGACACGUGGUAUCCUGUCUGAAUAUGGGGGGACCAUCCUCCAAGGCUAAAUACUCCUGACUGACCGAUAGUGAACCAGUACCGUGAGGGAAAGGCGAAAAGAACCCCGGCGAGGGGAGUGAAAAAGAACCUGAAACCGUGUACGUACAAGCAGUGGGAGCCCCACCACUAAGCCAGUGGUGAACUCCACAUACGCAUCCUUUGCUGAAGGUGCGGUUAACGGAGCGCAAGCGACGUUCAACCUCAAAAGAAGCAGAGGGGGCUUAGUGGUGGGGUGACUGCGUACCUUUUGUAUAAUGGGUCAGCGACUUAUAUUCUGUAGCAAGGUUAACCGCAUAGGGGAGCCGGAGGGAAACCGAGUCUUAAUUGGGCGUUAAGUUGCAGGGUAUAGACCCGAAACCCGGUGAUCUAGCCAUGGGCAGGUUGAAGGUUGGGUAACACUAACUGGAGGACCGAACCGACUAAUGUUGAAAAAUUAGCGGAUGACCUGUGGCUGGGGGUGAAAGGCCAAUCAAACCGGGAGAUAGCUGGUUCUCCCCGAAAGCUAUUUAGGUAGCGCCUCGUGAAUUCAUCUCCGGGGGUAGAGCACUGUUUCGGCUAGGGGGCCAUCCCGGCUUACCAACCCGAUGCAAACUGCGAAUACCGGAGAAUGUUAUCACGGGAGACACACGGCGGGUGCUAACGUCCGUCGUGAAGAGGGAAACAACCCAGACCGCCAGCUAAGGUCCCAAAGUCAUGGUUAAGUGGGAAACGAUGUGGGAAGGCCCAGACAGCCAGGAUGUUGGCUUAGAAGCAGCCAUCAUUUAAAGAAAGCGUAAUAGCUCACUGGUCGAGUCGGCCUGCGCGGAAGAUGUAACGGGGCUAAACCAUGCACCGAAGCUGCGGCAGCGACGCUGAUGCGUUGUUGGGUAGGGGAGCGUUCUGUAAGCCUG
rnacentral:rRNA from 1 species